UACGUAGGGACCAAGCGUUGUCCGGAAUCAUUGGGCGUAAAGAGCGUGUAGGCGGCUUGUUAAGUCUUGCGUGAAAUCUCGGGGCUCAACCCCGAGCGGUCGUGAGAAACUGGCAGGCUAGAGUGCGGGAGAGGAGAGUGGAAUUCCUGGUGUAGCGGUGAAAUGCGCAGAUAUCAGGAAGAACACCCGUGGCGAAGGCGGCAUCCUGGACCGGCAUUGACGCUGAGGAGCGAAAGCUAGGGGAGCAAACGGG
rnacentral:rRNA from 1 species